rnacentral:rRNA from 1 species
GACGAACGCUGGCGGCGUGCCUAAUACAUGCAAGUCGAACGAGAGCGACCGGUGCUUGCACUGGUCAAUCUAGUGGCGAACGGGUGAGUAACACGUGGGUAACCUGCCCAUCAGAGGGGGAUAACAUUCGGAAACGGAUGCUAAAACCGCAUAGGUCUUCGAGCCGCAUGGCUUGAAGAGGAAAAGAGGCGCAAGCUUCUGCUGAUGGAUGGACCCGCGGUGCAUUAGCUAGUUGGUGAGGUAACGGCUCACCAAGGCCGUGAUGCAUAGCCGACCUGAGAGGGUGAUCGGCCACAUUGGGACUGAGACACGGCCCAAACUCCUACGGGAGGCAGCAGUAGGGAAUCUUCCGCAAUGGACGCAAGUCUGACGGAGCAACGCCGCGUGAGUGAAGAAGGUUUUCGGAUCGUAAAACCCUGUUGUUAGAGAAGAACAAGUGCUAGAGUAACUGUUAGCGCCUUGACG